CCCGGGGCCGGGGUGGGGCCGGCGCGGUUCGGGACGGCGCGGGCAGCGCUGCGGGAGCGGUUCGGGGCGUUCCAAGCCUUCCGCCGGGG
rnacentral:tRNA from 1 species